rnacentral:sRNA from 17 species
UCGAUUCGAGCGCAGCGAGAAAGCGUUGCCGCAGGCAACGACCCGAAGGGCGAAGCGCGCAGCGCUGAGUCAUCCUUCCCCCACCACCA